AUGGAGCUGCGAGGCAGAGGAUACAAAAGACCUAUCACGCGCGCCUCACAGAAAGGAGCUGCAGUUGCUUGGUUUGGAUAUAAAAUUCAGUCAGUCAACUAUGAUUCUUCUGGGAACUCAUUGACUGCUAAUCUUGGCCUCAUCAAGAAAUCCUCCCUCUACGGACCUGACAUCCCAAAUCUCAACCUUCACGCCAGCUAUGAAACCAAAGAUCGGCUAAGAAUUCGAAUAACAGACUCAAAGCACCAAAGAUGGGAAAUCCCACGACAAAUAAUCCCCCGCCAAACAACUUCACAGCAUUCACAGCAAUGUCAAACCCACAACAAACACCUCCUGAUCUCCAACGACCUUGUCUUCACUCUCCACAACACCACCCCAUUCGGCUUCACCGUCACCCGCCAAUCCUCCAACGACGUCAUUUUCGACGCCUCCCCGAACCCAUCAAACCCCGACACCUUUUUGGUCUUCAAGGACCAAUACAUCCAGCUCUCCUCCUCCCUCCCCAAAGCUAGGUCCUCCCUUUUUGGUGGUGGAGCAGUAUACAGAGCUCAUUGGUCGCCCUACCCCUAUGCCCUAUUGGUCUUUUGGAUUCCACCAGUGUCGAUAUGGUUACAAGAAUGUUUCCGAUCUUGAGGGUGUGGUUGCUGGCUAUGCAAAAGCCGCUAUCCCCCUUGAAGUUAUGUGGACAGACAUUGAUUACAUGGAUGCAUACAAGGAUUUUACUCUUGAUCCCAUCAACUUCCCAUUGGAUAAGAUGAAGAAAUUUGUCAACACCCUUCACCAAAAUGAUCAGAAAUAUGUGCUCAUCUUGGACCCUGGUAUCAGUGUGAAUAAGAGCUAUGGAACCUACAACAGAGGGCUGAAAGCAGAUAUAUUUAUAAAACGUGACGGAAUUCCUUACCUGGGAAGUGUUUGGCCUGGCCCUGUCUAUUUCCCUGACUUUGCACAUCCACAAAGUGAAAAAUUUUGGGCUAAUGAGAUAAAAAUAUUUCAAGAUGCUCUGCCUUUCGAUGGUCUUUGGCUUGAUAUGAAUGAGCUAUCCAAUUUCAUCACGUCCCCUCCCACUCCAUCUUCUACACUUGAUGACCAUCCUUACAAGAUUAACAAUGCCGGGGUCCUGCGUCCGAUCAAUAACAAUACUGUUCCAGCAUCAGCGCUACACUUCGGUAACAUCACAGAAUAUGGUGCUCAUAACUUAUAUGGACUCUUGGAAUCCAAAGCAACAAACAAGGCCUUAGUCAGUGUGACUGGUAAAAGACCAUUUGUACUUUCUAGAUCAACUUUUGUAAGCUCUGGUACGUACACAGCACACUGGACUGGAGACAAUGCUGCAAAAUGGAGUGAUCUGGCAUACACAAUUCCAGCAGGCAGUGGAUUCAGGUAACUUAUGAGCCUUCAAAUUGGACACUUCACAAAACCUAGACUACAUUAUACAUCUUGUUUUACCUAGAACUUUGCUAUGCAACUAUGCUUUGUCUCUAUGCAGCUAGGGGCCUUUUACCCUUUUGCAAGAGAUCACUCAGAGAAGUUUACAAUCCGUCAAGAGCUCUAUCUUUGGGACUCAGUGGCUGCAACGGCAAGGAAGGUGCUUGGCCUGCGCUAUCGGUUGCUCCCCUUGUUUUACACAUCAAUGUAUGAGGCACACAAAAAGGGGACCCCCAUUGCAAGACCCCUUUUCUUCUCAUUUCCUCAAGAUAUCAGAACUUAUGAGAUCAACACUCAGUUUCUGAUUGGCAGAGGUGUAAUGGUGUCACCUGUGUUGAAGCCAGGAGUAAUUUCAGUUGAUGCAUAUUUUCCUGCAGGAAACUGGUUUGAUCUCUUCAACUACUCAAACUCGGUAAGUGUAAAAUCGGGGGAGCACAUUACAUUGGAUGCACCACCUAAUCAUAUCAACGUACAUGUCCGUGAAGGAAACAUUUUGGCCUUACAAGGAGAGGCCUUGACAACAGAAGCAGCCCGAAAGACUGCAUUUGAACUUUUGGUUGUUAGCAGCAGCAAUGGACAGAGCACUGGAGAAGUUUUCUUGGAUGAUGGAUAGGACGUGGAAAUGGGAGGAAAGGGAGGCAAGUGGAGUUUAGUGAGAUUUUACUGUGCAACAGAAAAUGGAAGUGUAUCUGUAAGAUCAACGGUUGUAAGUGGAGGAUUUGCUUUAAGCCAAAAAUGGAUCAUUGAUAAAGUUACCAUCAUUGGGUUGGACAAGGUUGAUGGAUUGGAAGGGUAUGCAUUGAACAUUACUAAGGGAGCAAACUUGAAGGGAGGACACUCAGAUAUCAGGGCCAGCUUUGGCAGCAAUAAGCGAUUCGUCAUGGUAGAGAUUUCCAGAUUAUCCAUUCUUAUAGCAGCAGAUUUUGACUUGGAGCUGAAGUAUUGAUACUAGUGAAAAUUAACACUCUUCUAGAGAGAGAACAAUAAGUUACAUGCCAUUCAGAUUUAUGGCUCCCCUGGAAGACA